rnacentral:lncRNA from 1 species
UUGGUCAGUAAAAUAAGUGGUUUCAAACCAGUUGAAAGACCCCUGUCUCUAUUUCAUAUCCAUCCCUCCCCCUUUACCCCCUCUCUCUCUCUCCUUUCCCCUCUCCUCUUCCUCCUCGUUCCCUCUCUUCCUCCUCGUUCCCUCUCUCUCUUCCUCCUCGUUCCCUCUCUCUCUUCCUCCUCGUUCCCUCUCUCCUCCUCCUCGUUCCCUCUCUCUCCUCCUCCUCAUUCCCUCUCUUUCUUCCUCCUCAUUCCCUCUCUCUCCUCCUCCUCAUUCCCUCUCUCUCUUCCUCCUCGUUCCCUCUCUCUCUUCCUCCUCGUUCCCUCUCUCUCUCUCCUUUCCCCUCUCUCUCUUCCUCCUUCCCUCUCUCUCUCUACCUCCUCGUUCCCUCUCUCUCCUCCUCCUCAUUCCCUCUCUCUCUUCCUCCUCGUUCCCUCUCUCUCCUCCUCCUCCUCCUCCUCCUCGUUCCCUCUCUCUCCUCCUCCUCCUCGUUCCCUCUCUCUCUCUCUCUCCUUUCCCCUCUCCUCUUCCUGCUCGUUCCCCCUCUCUCUUCCUCCUCGUUCCCCCUCUCUUCCUCGUUCCCUCUCUCUCUUCCUCCUCGUUCUCUCUCUCUCAUCCUCCUCGUUCCCCCUCUCUUCCUCCUCGUUCCCUCUCUCUCAUCCUCCUCAUUCCCUCUCUCUCCCUCCCUCCUUCUUCCAUCCCUCUCUUCCUCCUCGUUCCCUCUCUCUCAUCCUCCUCGUUCCCUCUCUCUCCCUCCCUCCUUCUUCCAUCCCUCUCUUCCUCCUCAUUCCCUCUCUCUCUUCCUCCUCGUUCCCUCUCUCUCUUCCUCCUCGUUCCCUCUCUCUCUCUUCCUCCUCGUUCCCUCUCUCUUCCUCCUCGUUCCCUCUCUCUCUCUUCCUCCCCGUUUCCUCUCUCUCUCCUCCUCCUCCUCGUUCCCUCUCUCUCUUCCUCCUCAUUCCCUCUCUCUCUUCCUCCUCGUUCCCUCUCUCUCUUCCUCCUCGUUCCCUCUCUCUCCUCCUCCUCCUCCUCGUUCCCUCUCUCUUCCUCCUCGUUCCCUCUCUCUCUUCCUCCUCGUUCCCUCUCUCUCUUCCUCCUCGUUCCCUCUCUCUCUUCCUCCUUGUUCCCUCUCUCUCUUCCUCCUCAUUCCCUCUCUCCUCUACUGAACACAAUCUCAACUCCUCUUUAUCAGCACUUAUUUAA